UCCGACUUAACGUCGGCAGUCUCUUUAGAGUGCCCAACUGAAUGCUGGCAACUAAAGACAAGGGUUGCGCUCGUUAUGGGACUUAACCCGACAUCUCACGACACGAGCUGACGACAGCCAUGCAGCACCUGAUACUAGUGUCCCGAAGGCCUACGAUAUCUCUACCGUAUUCACUAGCACUUCAAACCCAGGUAAGGUUUUUCGCGUUGCAUCGAAUUGAACCACAUGCUCCACCGCUUGUGCGGGCCCCCGUCAAUUUCUUUGAGUUUUAAUCUUGCGACCGUACUUCCCAGGCGGAACACUUAACGCGUUAGCUUCGGCACUGGAGGGGUCAAUACCUCCAACACCAAGUGUUCAUCGUUUACGGCGUGGACUAC
rnacentral:misc_RNA from 1 species